rnacentral:rRNA from 1 species
GUGAGGAAUUUUCCGCAAUGGGCGAAAGCCUGACGGAGCAAUGCCGCGUGAAGGAUGAAGGCCUAUGGGUUGUAAACUUCUUUUCUUAGAGAAGAAUAUUGACGGUAUCUGAGGAAUAAGUAUCGGCUAACUCUGUGCCAGCAGCCGCGGUAAGACAGAGGAUGCAAGCGUUAUCCGGAAUGAUUGGGCGUAAAGCGUCUGUAGGUGGCUUCAAAAGUCUCCUGUCAAAGAUCAGGGCUUAACCCUGGGCCGGCAGGAGAAACUCUGAGGCUAGAGUUUGGUAGGGGCAGAGGGAAUUCCCGGUGGAGCUGUGAAAUGCGUAGAGAUCGGGAGGAACACCAAAGGCGAAAGCACUCUGCUGGGCCACAACUGACACUGAGGGACGAAAGCGAGGGGAGCAAAAGGGAUUAGAAACCCGGGUAGUCC